CGAAAUUUUAUUAUUAAACAAUUAUUAGGGUGAAGUUUCCAUAUAAAAUUGCCACCCCAAGUCCACUCGAUUCACACGACGUGGAUAUCGGUAUAUCAUUGUUUCACGCUACACUGAUAAACCCUAUCCGGAUUGGUCGUGCAGUUCCGCAUAGCACCGACAAUCCGUGCAACGAGUAUACGCCUUGUUGUACACUUCCAUUCGCUGGAAGACAGAUAGAAUGGAUUCAGCGAUAGAUCGCGAUCGGGCACAAUGGGUAAGAGGAUAACGAGGACUGAAGUAUCAGUGAGUUGGGUGUAAACCACGUUUUUUUUAUAUCAGCUAUAGAAAGAGCCUUGACGAUUCGAAUUCUGCGUGUGAUGCACUUUGCUGAAACGAAUAUUGAUUGUGACUCGUAAUUAACAAGUUUGUAAAUUCAGGUUAAAAGGAGAAGGGAUGGUCAUCGAUAUAGAACAUGUCAGAUGAUUUUUGGGAGUAGUAGCUCUGCUGUAGAAUUUCGACUUCUUAAUAAGAACACCGAAUAAAUUAUUCGUCCAUCUCCAAAAACUAUUAGCAGAAUUUGACAUUUUGCGCUCAUCUGUAUUCAAGGGUAUCAAGAAUAUGGAAUCGACUGGCCAUCUUGUGGUUUUUUUAUAUUCCCGGUAAUAGACAUCUUGAAUAUCUAGACAUCUAUAAAGACUCUUAAUGGUGUGAUGUAAAUUAUGAAAUAAACGAUAAAUACAUAAUUUCGUUAUAUCAUUAUGCAUAAUACUCGUAGAACAAUUUAAUGACAAAGUUAAAAAAAGAAGCUUAAGACUUCAAAAAAUCCAAGUCAUUAGAAAAAAAAAACAAAAUGAUUAGUAAAUAAUCGAAUAUGCUUAAAUCGAAAUAUCCGGCAUACAAUUUUAUUCGAAUAUCAUCAAAAUUCUAUCAUGCUAAUGCUAAUUCGUCGUCGUAUACCUGAAAGUUGAUCCCAACCGGAUAUCAAGCCUUAAGGAUACGAGAUCAGAUUAAACUAAUGCAUUCCCAGGGAAUCAAUGGUAUCCUUUCGAAAUCGUCGAUACUCAGUUCAAUUAUUGAUAUAAUGCAACGUGCACCCACAGUGCAAUGGAUCCGGCACAAUCAAAUGAUAUAGAACUCCCAAGUAGAGUCUCGCAAACUGUUUCCUUUCUUUUACAAGUAACGAUCGCAAAGCACCUUCGCGUCGAGCUCCUCCUACAUAUUAGUCCUUGUCGUCAGCAUCGGCGUCGGCGUCGACGUCGUGAUUGCACACGAUUGCAGUAGAUGCACGAAUGCACCUUAAGAGGCUAACGGUACUACCAACUGUUGUAUAACGUUACCAAGCACAUAUUCCCACAUUACCAAAGACCGUGGCGAACGACUACACAACAAGGCUAUGGUUGGCAGCGCGACAAAAAAAAUCAUCAGGCAAACUUUGCCUACGGGCUGCAGACUUCGUUGCAUGUCCGCCAUAAAUUCUGCCGGAUUAUCGCUAGAACGUAUCGCUACGUACUCAAAGAGAGACUCACGCAUUGCUCCAUUUAGUUAUCCACGAGUUCCCCGAAGGACUCGUUUACGCGAUUGUCAUUGAAUUCGAAAUCAAUGAGAAUAAUGACGUGAUGUGAUACCUAGAAAAAUUAAUUUUUUAGAAUAAUUCAUACCAGUGACUAUCAUCGAAUCCUUUUUUAUUCAGAUCCAUUGAAUUAAUUAUUCGAUAAAAUUGCAUUUGACUAGAUCGAUGUCUUUUAUGAUUGUUAACCCAAGAUCCUGGUAGAUUCUAUCUAUACUGGGCAAUGCACUAAUUUGCCAUGACAAUCUCCAGCAACCAUGACUACAGUCAGUGAUCCGAGAUCUGAUCGAUGAUCUAGAAUCAAUUUGUCAAUUUUUCUACGGUUCGUGAGUUAUUCCAAUGUACGAAUCCGUUAUUGUUACUGGAAAUUAUUGUAUACAAGUGUAUAAAGGGCGCAUGGAAAAGUGGCCAAUUAAUGGAAAUUUUCUUCCUUAACCUCAUAGUCAGCUAUGAGAAUUGGCAAAGGAAUUUUUUGCGAUCCCAGGCAGGUAUGGUAUUGUGAAAAAUAAAUAUUUUUUUGCAAUGUUAUUUUUUCGAUCGAUUCUUUUGCCAUUAUAUAGAAGGACCAUUUAUGUAUUCGUGCACGUACUAGACAAAUAACGUCCAACGUAAUCGCGUUCCAAUUUGUAGAGUUGCUUGAGCUUCGAUUCUAAACGAUUGCGUGUUUAUUUUUUUUUACGUUCAAUUUAGUACAAGAAAUUCUCUCUUUCACUCUCAAGGUCACUCCUGAGCAUAAUCGCAUGAAAUAUCGUACACUCUCACUCACAGACCAUCCCAAGGAAUCAAGAGCCUCCGGGCAUGACACACUUUAAACUGGAUUACUAGACAGCUCUAUGGUGGUCUUCCUGUAAUGGGAGUAGAUACGUAAAGGCGAUUUUAAACUCUCGCUGUUCUCGGCUUACCGACAUGUAAUACCAAUAGUGGUUACGAUGGACACCCACCUGCAUGUCGCAUACGUCUUAUCCUACAUGUCUUUGCUUCCUUCCGCUUGUCGCCUUCGACUACCGUGGUUUAUCAUUCGCUUCCGUCUUUUGACCUGUGGUAAUUUAUUUUAUUUUUUAUUUUUUUAAGUAUAGGACCUAUACUAAUUGAAUACUUUGAAAUAUUAUAGGCAGUUUGAGUAUAGCUCAUAAAAUGAAUUUAUCUUACACCCUGUAAUGUGAUUAACGAACUCCAGCCAAUCAAUUAUCUACAUCCACCGCGAACCGGAUAGCCAACAGAUAUUUUCUCAUAGAACUACGCAAUGUCUCCAGCAUCCCGGGUUGCGACAUAGCUUGCAGGAAAGUGCCGAUUUCGCCUCCGUACCGGAUAUUAUAAAAUUGAUAAAUUACAGGCGAGACUCGAAACUUCUUGCUCCCGUACAGUGAUGCUGGGUUGCUUGUUUAUCUCAGGGAGUGUACAAAGAUUACGAUGGCGAUAGGGAUGUAUUGCGUGUUGAAGAUUCUCGUGGUGCGAUUAAAAUAAUAUAUUAAUUUUGCUUGCUAAAAUAAAUCUUGAUUCAUCGUUCGUUUAAUGAUUCAUAUUUAUAUUGGUCGUUCGACGAGCAGAGUUAUUCAGGCAAUUUCGUAGGACAGGUUUUAGCUCUUGAAAAAUCAUCGGGUUAGCUUGUAAUCAGUUUUUAACGGCGACCAAUCGGAUACUCGUUAAGAUUCUCGAAGAAAUUAUUUCGCAACUUGGCUAUAUCUAUACGCUCGUAUACACUGUCAAUAUAUUCCCGAGUUGCAAACUCUCGCCUGUAAGUACCGUCGGGCUGCGAACCAUAUUCUCAACAGCUGAAUCAUUAGUAACGCCUACGUAUUUGACUUCGCCAUAGAGUAUACGUCUGAUUUUCCAUGGAAUGCUCUACUAACUAAUUAACUACUGUUUUACAUAAGUAUACGAAUUAAAUGCAGAUUCCAUAAUGCAAUCUUCUUGUUGGCCAACCACCCAUUUCGAUUACCGACCAGGUUGACACGGUUCCCAACGUUCUCACAAUCAGUAACCUGGGUAGCCUUAGGGACCAGUGAGACCUCAAGAAUAGAUUCUGAGCAUUACCUUUCGGAAUCAGUGAGGCAUCAGUUCUUGAUAAUGAAUCAAUGUCCGUUUAUUAAUUCGCGCUCUAUAUAAUGAAGGUGAAUUUACCAUCGAGUAUGUGAAUUCAGAUAAAUCAAUGUUAAGUACCUUAUGUGGUAUCGUGAAUAAAAAAAAGAGUUUGUCACUGGGAUAUUUUUGAAUUUAAAAUACAAAUAUUUUGUAUACAACUUUUUUACGUGUAACUAUGCAAAAACGUCUGAAAAUAUUUUUGCACAGAUUCCACUAGUCGACUCGCCCUGUCCCAGAAGCAGACAGUAAGAAGGUAAAACAGGUAGUGAGAUCCAUACGAUGCCCUAUUAACAAACGUACGCGCAUAAGUCAGUAGGACAAGAGGAAUAAUGAUGGUCAAUGUAAGAAAAUAAAUUCAUGUAUAUUAAAAUUGCCAAAUCCACGUGACCAUUUCUUAAGGAAACAUGAAAUCUUGAUACGUAAUCAAAAAACUGCCUCAACGUGUUAUUUGAUAGUGAUAUGUAUUAUUUUCCUAGCACGCUCUUAAAACAUUGCUGUACAUUAGAUCAGUGGAUUUUACAGUGACUCUAGUUACUUUACGUUUUAUGCAAUAAUUUCUUUGGAUGAUAUCAUUUUCUUUGUUGAGCAAUACGUCUCUUGCAUGUUGACUAGGACAUCUCAAUAUGUUCAGAGAGAAAGCAUCAGGUUCUCGACUGGGAAACCUAUAAAUAGCUGUAAUCGUAAUUAGUCACCAACUAAUUAUCGAGGGCAAUUCUGAACCACCAAUAAAAAUCUCG